rnacentral:rRNA from 1 species
CGGUGAAAUGCGUUGAUAUUCUGAGGAACAUCAGUGGCGAAGACGGCUUACUCGACCAAGACUGACGCUCAGGCACGAAAGCGUGGGUAGCAAACAGGAUUAGAUCCCCUGGUAGUCCACGCCCUAAACGAUGUCAUCUAGCCGUUGGGUCUCCUUAAUAUGACUUAGUGGCGAAGCUAACGCGUUAAGUUGUCCGCCUGGGGAGUACGGCCGCAAGGUUGAAACUCAAAAGAAUUGGCGGGGGCCCCCACCAGCGGUGGAGCAUGUUGUCUAAUUUGAUGCAACGAGAAGAACCUUUCCAGCCCUUGACAUACUCGGAACUUUCUAAAAAUAGUUUGUUGCCUUCGGGAACCGAAUACAGGUGCUGCAUGGCUGUCGUCAGCUCGUGUCGUGAGAUGUUGGGUUAAGUCCCGCAACGAGCGCAACCCUUAUCCUUUGUUGCCAGCACUUAAGGUGGGAACUUUUAGAAGACUUCCGCUGAUAAACCGGAAGAGAGGUGGGGAGAGACGUCAAGUCCUCAUGGCCCUUUCGGGCUGGGCGACCCCGCUGUUUCAAAUGGUCGGAACAGAGGGCAGCAAACU